rnacentral:lncRNA from 1 species
GUUUUGGAUUUUGGCUCCUCUCGACGGAAUUUUAGUGUAUCUUACGGAGAGGCUCCUCUCCAGGUGUCGCGCCGACGCUUAAGUUGCUGUCACAGUGCUAAUCCAUCGUCGAUCGGAUAACGGCGUUGAAGUCCCCGGAGAGUGUGAAUUUUUUAGAGACAUGUACUGUUGCCUCUACGCGAAGGAACAGUUGCUCGCACUGCGUGUAUCGGUGUUUUGAAAUUCCUCGUGAGCAUGGAAAGGGAUGUGGCUAAGACCGUCGUUCAACUGCAAGUAUCUUCGUGUUGAUGCCGCGUCGGUCGGGGACUUGUGGAGGCAUGCUCAUUGAGCUUCGGGGGAAGGCAGACUUGAUCAAUCGGGAUGUGAUCAAUUGUGGC